rnacentral:rRNA from 1 species
UACGGAGGAUCCAAGCGUUAUCCGGAUUUAUUGGGUUUAAAGGGUGCGUAGGUGGCUUAUUAAGUCAGGGGUGAAAGACGGUAGCUUAACUAUCGCAGUGCCUUUGAUACUGAUGAGCUUGAAUGAACUAGAGGUAGGCGGAAUGUGACAAGUAGCGGUGAAAUGCAUAGAUAUGUCACAGAACACCAAUUGCGAAGGCAGCUUACUAUGGUUUUAUUGACACUGAGGCACGAAAGCGUGGGGAUCAAACAGG